rnacentral:rRNA from 1 species
CAGCAGCCGCGGUAAUACGAAGGGUGCAAGCGUUAAUCGGAAUUACUGGGCGUAAAGCGUGCGUAGGCGGUUUGUUAAGUCUGUUGUGAAAUCCCCGGGCUCAACCUGGGAAUGGCAAUGGAUACUGGCAAGCUAGAGUGUGUCAGAGGAUGGUGGAAUUCCCGGUGUAGCGGUGAAAUGCGUAGAGAUCGGGAGGAACAUCAGUGGCGAAGGCGGCCAUCUGGGACAACACUGACGCUGAGGCACGAAAGCGUGGGGAGCAAACAGGAUUAGAGACCCGCGUAGUCCCUGUCUCUUAUAA